AGUAAAAAGACACCACUAUAGUUCAACUUUAAAGUUCAAUUCAAAUAUUAAGUUAUGAAACUGAUUUAACGUUAUCUGUGAAUAAAUGUGCUCGUCAGAUCCCCCAAACCAAAUUAUAUCUCAUGUUUAACCGCUACUGGUACAAUUUUGAGUGACUCUAACGAUUUCAGAGCCAGCAGAGCAUUUAAUAAAGUCCUGCCGAGAUCAAGCUGCUCUCGGCGGCAACACAGCGCUGAUGCUGUGUUGUGGAAAGCUCAUUGCAGUGUAUAAUAAUGAUAAAACGUGAUGACUCCCACAUAUCUGCACUUGUUUUGUUUUUCAAAGAUAAGCAGUGUAAAACUCUUUAUAGCCAAAUAUUUGAUAAUGUUUUAUCUUAGGUUUCCACAGUUUACACUUUAUUGUUAUAACCUUGAAAAGAUAUUCAGUGCAAAACAGUUUAAUUUACGCCACUAUGAGCUAUUUUUUGCCAACUAUUAGUUGUUUUUUGCACAGAUAGAACUGUAUUUGUUUUCUAAUAAAGUGAUUGAAAACUUGUAUUAGUUUUUUGUCUGAUGGAUCAAUCUGAAUUGAAAGGGAUUGCAAAGUAAUUCUAAUAUUAGCAAAAGCACAAACAAGUUGUUAUUACAGAAUUGACACUAAUCAUUAUAAUAUACAUGUAUAUAUACAUAUAUAUAUUAUUUAAAACAUUUUUUGUAUUCCAAGACAUUGUGCAGGGGGCUUAUCGUAUUGAGCAAAUAAUGAUGAUUAAUUUAAGAAACCUUUCUGUCAUUUGUUGGUCAUUUCUAUAUUUUUAUGGGAUCUGAUUUGAGGAUUAUUGAACAAUUACCUCUUGUUCCUAGAACAAAUGGCCCAUUCCUGAAUAAAAAAUGUUAUUGACAUUUUUUCGAUCUGAUGUUGGUGUGAUGUGUAACAUCUCUUUGGGGACCUCACAUUGUUUUGGUAAGUACAUUUAACAAACACACUUUUCACAGGUAUGCUGAUCCCAGCAGUACUGCUCAGGAUAAAUAUUAUGUAACAAUGUGGUAUCUUUGCUCUAGGGCAGUAAUUGCUGACAGCAAAGUACAUCUGCCACUGAUCAUAUCUUCACCAGCUUGUCAACUGAUGUCUAUCUUCCAGAGGAAGGGUGGAGUUGCUGGCCAGAAACCAGCUAAACAUCUAAAGAGCUUGCAAUAGUUUUAGCUCAAAUCGAUGCGACCCUCCACCACCCCAGGCUCCUCCAAUCGCCGUUGCGCCAACUCUUCUUCUACACCACCACCAGUGUCUGGACUCCAUGGUGGGAUUCGGUCUGGGCAGAUAUCAGCAUCUCUUCCCUUUGCUUAUCCUAAUUCGGGAUGGAGUCCAAUCGCCAAAAAAACUAUUUCAAUAUACUAUUGUAAAUAAAUUAUUGUUAAACUCUAAAAUCUGGGACAGGGAUGUCGUUUGUGUACAGAUUGUAAUUUGUGAUAAUCUGUUAUACAAAAUAAAUUGAAUUGAA